GUAAACGUAGGAUUUACGUCUGACUUAAGAUUAGAGUUACGUACUCAUAAAAUGGUAUUCACAAAACCGUUCGUAGCCGCAAACGUAACUUACGAUGUACGAUUGCACUUACGCGUGCGCAGUGGCUAUUUUCACUUUGAAGCGUAAAAAGUGUGAAUUUGCUCAUUUACUUUGAAUUUCCUGCGCUACCGCCGCAUUAUGACGAAAAAGAACACAGAACUUUGUGAGAAAGCAACGAAUUUCAACGUAUACGUAUGCCUGCCAACGGCAUGUCGAUCAAUUGUACCGUUAUUCAGUGUUGUUUACAAAUCCAAAUGGAAGGUUCAUCAAAUUUAACGCAUUUGACUUGUGCAUGGAUCUGCGAUGCUGUAGGUGUUCAAAAAGAAGUCGGCAUGGACUGACAAGGUCAUAAAGGUGGUCAAGAAAUAAAUUGCCAAACAGACAGCAGCAUUCCUCGAUUUAGAUGCAUUUCUCUUCAUGUCCUCUCCUGAAAGAUUUUCCAUGAUGUCUCAGGGUCAGGAUUGGGAUGCAAGAUGUACAGUACAUAUAUAUGAUGUCUAUGGGUACAUUGCUGUAAUGGCCUGAAAAAUCUUUUGCGAAACCGAGAAAUGUUCAUCUUCCAGUGCCAUGAUUGUGUAAAAGGACGAGCAGAGGAAUGAUUCAAAAAUAUAUGGCAGGAUUGAGAAUCUAACCCAUGACCCGUAGUCUGGUACUCUACCCACUGACCAAUCCAUGCUGAUGGUCCAUCUGCUACAUUGAUGUCAUCUUAUAUAUUUAUUUAUUCAUUUAUAUCAUAUGGACAUUUAAAAAUUGACAGUAAAAUAAAAAAAAGUUUGAUAUUCAGCAAAAUAGAAUUUGUUACAAUACAUG